CGAAGCAACGCGAAGAACCUUACCUAAGCUUGACAUCCCAAUGACAUCUCCUUAAUCGGAGAGUUCCCUUCGGGGACAUUGGUGACAGGUGGUGCAUGGUUGUCGUCAGCUCGUGUCGUGAGAUGUUGGGUUAAGUCCCGCAACGAGCGCAACCCUUGUCUUUAGUUGCCAUCAUUAAGUUGGGCACUCUAGAGAGACUGCCAGGGAUAACCUGGAGGAAGGUGGGGAUGACGUCAAAUCAUCAUGCCCCUUAUGCUUAGGGCUACACAAGUGCUACAAUGGGUAGUACAGAGGGUUGCCAAGCCGUAAGGUUGAGCUAAUCCCUUAAAGCUACUCUCAGUUUGGAUUGUAAGCUGAAACUCGCCUACAUGAAGCUGGAGUUACUAGUAAUCGCAGAUCAGAAUGCUGCGGUGAAUGCGUUCCCGGGUCUUGUACACACCGCCAGUCACACCACGGGAGUUGGGGACGCCCGAAGCCGAUUAUCUAACCUGUUGGAAGAAGUCGUCGAAGGUGGAAUCAAUAACUGGGGUGAAGUCGUAACAAGGUAGCCGUAUCGGAAGGUGCGGCUGGAUCACCUCCUUUCUAAGGA
rnacentral:rRNA from 1 species